AUCUUAGGACCUCCCGCUACGGGGGCGGCCGAUGGCAGAUUAGCUAGUUGGUGGGGUAAAGGCCUACCAAGGCGACGAUCUGUAGCUGGUCUGAGAGGACGACCAGCCACACUGGGACUGAGACACGGCCCAGACUCCUACGGGAGGCAGCAGUGGGGAAUUUUGGACAAUGGGCGAAAGCCUGAUCCAGCAAUGCCGCGUGUGUGAAGAAGGCCUUCGGGUUGUAAAGCACUUUUGUCCGGAAAGAAAACCUCCGCCCUAAUAUGGUGGGGGGAUGACGGUACCGGAAGAAUAAGCACCGGCUAACUACGUGCCAGCAGCCGCGGUAAUACGUAGGGUGCAAGCGUUAAUCGGAAUUACUGGGCGUAAAGCGUGCGCAGGCGGUCCGCUAAGACAGAUGUGAAAUCCCCGGGCUUAACCUGGGAACUGCAUUUGUGACUGGCGGGCUAGAGUAUGGCAGAGGGGGGUAGAAUUCCACGUGUAGCAGUGAAAUGCGUAGAGAUGUGGAGGAAUACCGAUGGCGAAGGCAGC
rnacentral:rRNA from 1 species